GUUCUCGCUUCAGCAGCACAUAUACUAAAAAUUGGAACGAUACAGAGAAGAUUAGCAUGGCCCCUGCACAAGGAUGAAAUAUAAAAUCUCAAUUUUUAAUUCUCUUAU
rnacentral:snRNA from 1 species